GUUGAAAGACGGACUAAUACCCAAUAUAAUCCUUUGAUGGCAUCUGACGAGGAUGAAAGAUUUAUCGGUAUUGGAUGGGGAUGCGUCUGAUUAGCUUGUUGGUGAGGUAACGGCUCACCAAGGCUUCGAUCAGUAGGGGUUCUGAGAGGAAGGUCCCCCACAUUGGAACUGAGACACGGUCCAAACUCCUACGGGAGGCAGCAGUU
rnacentral:rRNA from 1 species